rfam:Callithrix jacchus chromosome 15, whole genome shotgun sequence
GCUGUCCUGGACCUACCAGCAGCACAGAUGCAGAUGCUCUGCUCUGCCUGUAACAUCGGGGAAAAGUCAAAGUGGUUAUUUCCACACUCAAUAUUCGGAAAACAGUAAACAACAAGAAUGGAGAAUAGCCUGACAUUU